UUAGUUGAUUUUUAUACGACCGCAAAUUUUGAAAAAAUUUUCGUCGUAUAUUGCUAUCACGUUGGCGUCAGCGUCGUCGUCGUCGUCGUCGUCGUCGUCGUCGUCGUCGUCGUCCGGCGUCCGAAUACUUUUAGUUUUCGCACUCUAACUUUAGUAAAAGUGAAUAGAAAUCUAUGAAAUUUUAACACAAGGUUUAUGACCAUAAAAGGAAGG
rnacentral:lncRNA from 1 species